rnacentral:rRNA from 1 species
UACGUAGGUGGCGAGCGUUGUCCGGAAUUAUUGGGCGUAAAGGGAGCGCAGGUGGGAAAGUAAGUCUGCUUUAAAAGUGCGGGGCUCAACCCCGUGAGGGAGUGGAAACUACUUUUCUUGAGUGCAGGAGAGGAAAGCGGAAUUCCUAGUGUAGCGGUGAAAUGCGUAGAUAUUAGGAGGAACACCAGUGGCGAAGGCGGCUUUCUGGACUGUAACUGACACUGAGGCUCGAAAGCCAGGGGAGCGGACGGG